rnacentral:rRNA from 1 species
UAGGGAAUCUUCCACAAUGGACGCAAGUCUGAUGGAGCAACGCCGCGUGAGUGAAGAAGGUUUUCGGACCGUAAAGCUCUGUUGUUGGUGAAGAAGGAUAGAGGUAGUAACUGGCCUUUAUUUGACGGUAAUCAACCAGAAAGUCACGGCUAACUACGUGCCAGCAGCCGCGGUAAUACGUAGGUGGCAAGCGUUGUCCGGAUUUAUUGGGCGUAAAGCGAGCGCAGGCGGAAGAAUAAGUCUGAUGUGAAAGCCCUCGGCUUAACCGAGGAAUUGCAUCGGAAACUGUUUUCUUGAGUGCAGAAGAGGAGAGUAGAACUCCAUGUGUAGCGGUGGAAUGCGUAGAUAUAUGGAAGAAUACCAGUGGCGAAGGCGGCUCUCUGGUCUGCAACUGACGCUGAGGCUCGAAAGCAUGGGUAGCGAACAGGAUUAGAUACCCUGGUAGUCCAUGCCGUAAACGAUGAGUGCUAAGUGUUGGGAGGCUUCCGCCUCUCAGUGCUGCAGCUAACGCAUUAAGCACUCCGCCUGGGGGAGUACGA